GACAGAGGUGCCAAGCGUUAGGCGGAAUCACUGGGCUUAAAGCGUGUGUAGGCGGACUGGUAAGUACCUUGUGAAAUCCCACGGCUCAACCGUGGAACUGCUCGGUAUACUGCUCGUCUUGAGCCACUUAGGGGCUGUCGGAACAAACGGUGGAGCGGUGAAAUGCGUAGAUAUGGGGAGGAACACCGGUGGCGAAGGCGGCCACCUGGACGGUAACUGACGCUGAGACGCGAAAGCGUGGGGAGCAAACAGG
rnacentral:rRNA from 1 species